ACUAUUUGGUCGAUAAGAUAGAAACCAUCGAGUGUGGAGCGGUCAUUCUUCCGGUUUUCGGCCGGUCUGCUUCUCGUCCGGCUCCGGUACGGCGACGGGUGCCUUCGUAUCCACAGUUUUUUGAUUUUCGGCAUACGGCCUCCCUCUGCCUCGGCUCCCGCGGCCGAGUUCGGAAGGGGCGGCCACGUUCCUGAAAUUCCCAGUGGCUCCGGAGCCGUGGAGCGAGCCAAGGAGCCUCCAGGAGAAACGCUUUAGGGAUAAAACACGCUGGUGGAACUGAGCGGUCUUCCCACAGUGCACCCCUGCCCGGCUACAACGUGAGACGCUGUCCAGAGAAACGGAUGUUGGGCUUCAGCCAAGAUGAGGUAACCGAAGCACUUUGUGGGAUGCACAUACUGGAACGACUUUGCGAUGGAAGAUGGGAUGUUCUCAAGAUUGUGUAUCCCUGGAGCCGUUAUGGGUUGGAAACGACUCGGCAUUUGAAGAAGAAGAACUGAGGCGCAGAGAAGGAUUGAUUGAUUGAUUGAAGGACGAGGAGGAAAACAGCAGGGCCAGGAACCCGAACAGUGAAUGGCCAGCAGUCAACCAGAAGUCGCCUCAGAAAAAUCAUGUUUUUUUUCCGUGUUCUCUGCUCUGAGCAAGGACGUUUUGGGCUGGCAAUAGUAGAAAUCGAGUCUCCUUGAAGUCGGUGACCUGAGGGUCGGUGGAAGACAGGUCUAAUCUUCUCUAAACCCGAGAAGAUCGCUCACUGGCUCCCGAGUGGAGAAUUGAAGCUAAAUAAUCCCUGGGAUUGCCCAUUUCUCCGUAAUAUUUUAAGACUUUUCCCCCCUUUCAAGGGAAUUUCCAUUUUGCCUCUUGUACCAAAUGGAGAAGAGCAGGCCCCAUUUGGCUAACUGUCCCACUACAUGUCUGAUUGGCUGUUCAUGAAAUCGGUCAAAAUGCCCAACUCCCAUUUCCCAAAUAUGCCAAGGUAUGUAAAACUAAAAGGUGAAAACUUUUUUUUUUAAAACAAAAUUUGUUGUAAAGUCUGGGCAAGAGGGAAUAUCAUGUGAACAUUGUAAUAACUCACAAAAUUAUCAUUAUAAUUAGGGUUUAACGGGGAGAGUGAAGGGGCUGGAAAGGAAGAAGUCACCCAGAGAGAUGGGGGUAAUUGCCUCAUAAAUAUUUACAAGUUGUGAUUACCCAUUCCACUACUUCAGGUUUUUCUUGUGAAUGAAACACAUCCACUGUUUAUAUCCUGCUGAGGAAAUUGGUGACACUAAUGCAAAGAGAGGAGCCAAGGAUUCCAGAAAUAAAUGUUUCCAUCCUGUUCCCAAAGAAUGAAUCACUUGUGCAUUGAAAUAUUCCAUUUUUCCAUUUUUGCAAGCCCGACACCUCUAAUUCCUGCUUUUACUGAUUUAGCAAGAAACCAUUAAUGAACUUUGAGCCAUAAAAAGGAAGAAUUGUAAGCAGGCCACUCAUUUUAAGCCACAAAGAAUUUCUUUGUAUUUUUUCCCCCCGAGGAAUUGUCAUUAGAAUUCAGUUUCAAUUCUUAGACCGACAUGGGAUUAUGUCCUUAAAGUGCUUAUUUCUUGUAUGUGGAAUUUGUGAAAAAAAUACAUUCUGUAAAUGAUUAAAGUCAAGUUCUCAUGGACUAGAUUGCAUA